UACGUAGGAGGCGAGCGUUGUCCGGAUUUACUGGGCGUAAAGCGCGCGCAGGCGGCCCUUCAAGUAAGGUGUGAAAUCUCCCGGCUCAACUGGGAGGGUGCGCCGAAUACUGAAUGACUUGGAGUGCGGGAGAGGAAAGUGGAAUUCCUGGUGUAGCGGUGAAAUGCGUAGAUAUCAGGAGGAACACCGGUGGUGUAGACGGCUUUCUGGACCGUAACUGACGCUGAGACACGAAAGCGUGGGUAGCAAACAGG
rnacentral:rRNA from 1 species